rnacentral:rRNA from 2 species
UCGAACGAACUCUGGUAUUGAUUGGUGCUUGCAUCAUGAUUUACAUUUGAGUGAGUGGCGAACUGGUGAGUAACACGUGGGAAACCUGCCCAGAAGCGGGGGAUAACACCUGGAAACAGAUGCUAAUACCGCAUAACAACUUGGACCGCAUGGUCCGAGUUUGAAAGAUGGCUUCGGCUAUCACUUUUGGAUGGUCCCGCGGCGUAUUAGCUAGAUGGUGGGGUAACGGCUCACCAUGGCAAUGAUACGUAGCCGACCUGAGAGGGUAAUCGGCCACAUUGGGACUGAGACACGGCCCAAACUCCUACGGGAGGCAGCAGUAGGGAAUCUUCCACAAUGGACGAAAGUCUGAUGGAGCAACGCCGCGUGAGUGAAGAAGGGUUUCGGCUCGUAAAACUCUGUUGUUAAAGAAGAACAUAUCUGAGAGUAACUGUUCAGGUAUUGACGGUAUUUAACCAGAAAGCCACGGCUAACUACGUGCCAGCAGCCGCGGUAAUACGUAGGUGGCAAGCGUUGUCCGGAUUUAUUGGGCGUAAAGCGAGCGCAGGCGGUUUUUUAAGUCUGAUGUGAAAGCCUUCGGCUCAACCGAAGAAGUGCAUCGGAAACUGGGAAACUUGAGUGCAGAAGAGGACAGUGGAACUCCAUGUGUAGCGGUGAAAUGCGUAGAUAUAUGGAAGAACACCAGUGGCGAAGGCGGCUGUCUGGUCUGUAACUGACGCUGAGGCUCGAAAGUAUGGGUAGCAAACAGGAUUAGAUACCCUGGUAGUCCAUACCGUAAACGAUGAAUGCUAAGUGUUGGAGGGUUUCCGCCCUUCAGUGCUGCAGCUAACGCAUUAAGCAUUCCGCCUGGGGAGUACGGCCGCAAGGCUGAAACUCAAAGGAAUUGACGGGGGCCCGCACAAGCGGUGGAGCAUGUGGUUUAAUUCGAAGCUACGCGAAGAACCUUACCAGGUCUUGACAUACUAUGCAAAUCUAAGAGAUUAGACGUUCCCUUCGGGGACAUGGAUACAGGUGGUGCAUGGUUGUCGUCAGCUCGUGUCGUGAGAUGUUGGGUUAAGUCCCGCAACGAGCGCAACCCUUAUUAUCAGUUGCCAGCAUUAAGUUGGGCACUCUGGUGAGACUGCCGGUGACAAACCGGAGGAAGGUGGGGAUGACGUCAAAUCAUCAUGCCCCUUAUGACCUGGGCUACACACGUGCUACAAUGGAUGGUACAACGAGUUGCGAACUCGCGAGAGUAAGCUAAUCUCUUAAAGCCAUUCUCAGUUCGGAUUGUAGGCUGCAACUCGCCUACAUGAAGUCGGAAUCGCUAGUAAUCGCGGAUCAGCAUGCCGCGGUGAAUACGUUCCCGGGCCUUGUACACACCGCCCGUCACACCAUGAGAGUUUGUAACACCCAAAGUCGGUGGGGUAACCUUUUAGGAACCAGCCGCCUA